GCUCGAGUGGCGGAACAGGCAGACGCCCGGGACUUAAAAUCCCGUGGGAAGUGAUUCCCGUGCCGGUUCGAUCCCGGCCUCGAGCACCA
rnacentral:tRNA from 1 species